rnacentral:rRNA from 1 species
GACGAACGCUGGCGGCGUGCUUAACACAUGCAAGUCGAACGAGAAUCUACUGAAAGAGUUUUCGGACAAUGGAAGUAGAGGAAAGUGGCGGACGGGUGAGUAACGCGUGAGGAACCUGCCUUGAAGAGGGGGACAACAGUUGGAAACGACUGCUAAUACCGCAUGACGCAUAGAGGUCGCAUGAUCUUUAUGCCAAAGAUUUAUCGCUUCAAGAUGGCCUCGCGUCUGAUUAGCUGGUUGGCGGGGUAACGGCCCACCAAGGCGACGAUCAGUAGCCGGACUGAGAGGUUGAACGGCCACAUUGGGACUGAGAUACGGCCCAGACUCCUACGGGAGGCAGCAGUGGGGAAUAUUGGGCAAUGGGCGCAAGCCUGACCCAGCAACGCCGCGUGAAGGAAGAAGGCUUUCGGGUUGUAAACUUCUUUUAAGAGGGAAGAGCAGAAGACGGUACCUCUAGAAUAAGCCACGGCUAACUACGUGCCAGCCGCCGCAGUAA